UAACACGUGAGCAACCUGCCCUGGACUCUGGGAUAAGCGCUGGAAACGGCGUCUAAUACUGGAUAUGAGCCUCUAUCGCAUGGUGGGGGUUGGAAAGAUUUUUCGGUCUGGGAUGGGCUCGCGGCCUAUCAGCUUGUUGGUGAGGUAAUGGCUCACCAAGGCGUCGACGGGUAGCCGGCCUGAGAGGGUGACCGGCCACACUGGGACUGAGACACGGCCCAGACUCCUACGGGAGGCAGCAGUGGGGAAUAUUGCACAAUGGGCGAAAGCCUGAUGCAGCAACGCCGCGUGAGGGAUGACGGCCUUCGGGUUGUAAACCUCUUUUAGCAGGGCAAGAAGCGAGAGUGACGGUACCUGCAGAAAAAGCGCCGGCUAACUACGUGCCAGCAGCCGCGGUAAUACGUAGGGCGCAAGCGUUAUCCGGAAUUAUUGGGCGUAAAGAGCUCGUAGGCGGUUUGUCGCGUCUGCUGUGAAAUCCCGAGGCUCAACCUCGGGCCUGCAGUGGGUACGGGCAGACUAGAGUGCGGUAGGGGAGAUUGGAAUUCCUGGUGUAGCGGUGGAAUGCGCAGAUAUCAGGAGGAACACCGAUGGCGAAGGCAGAUCUCUGGGCCGUAACUGACGCUGAGGAGCGAAAGGGUGGGGAGCAAACAGGCUUAGAUACCCUGGUAGUCCACCCCGUAAACGUUGGGAACUAGUUGUGGGGGACCAUUCCACGGUUUCCGUGACGCAGCUAACGCAUUAAGUUCCCCCGCCUGGGGAGUACGGCCGCAAGGCUAAAACUCAAAGGAAUUGACGGGGACCCGCACAAGCGGCGGAGCAUGCGGAUUAAUUCGAUGCAACGCGAAGAACCUUACCAAGGCUUGACAUACACCAGAACACCGUAGAAAUACGGGACUCUUUGGACACUGGUGAACAGGUGGUGCAUGGUUGUCGUCAGCUCGUGUCGUGAGAUGUUGGGUUAAGUCCCGCAACGAGCGCAACCCUCGUUCUAUGUUGCCAGCACGUAAUGGUGGGAACUCAUGGGAUACUGCCGGGGUCAACUCGGAGGAAGGUGGGGAUGACGUCAAAUCAUCAUGCCCCUUAUGUCUUGGGCUUCACGCAUGCUACAAUGGCCGGUACAAAGGGCUGCAAUACCGUGAGGUGGAGCGAAUCCCAAAAAGCCGGUCCCAGUUCGGAUUGAGGUCUGCAACUCGACCUCAUGAAGUCGGAGUCGCUAGUAAUCGCAGAUCAGCAACGCUGCGGUGAAUACGUUCCCGGGUCUUGUACACACCGCCCGUCAAGUCAUAAAAGUCGGUAACACC
rnacentral:rRNA from 1 species